AACCUUCUUAGACCAGGGUUAAGCUACUUUAAAGCUUAAUUGGAAUAAUUAGCCAUUUAUGAAGCUAAUCCGGAACUAUACGCGGUUUAAUCGCGUAAUUGACGUUGUUUUGUAUGAUCUCUUCGCAGCAGGUCUUUGUGCCUUUUUGAGCUGAACUUACACUCUUAGAAGCUGAUUUGGAAGGUAUUCUAACCUGAGCGAGAGUACGAACGAGCCUUGGAUCGUCGUGAGCUGACUUGUGAGAGCUCUUGGAGACUUAUCUUGAGCAGCAUUGGGGCUUCGUUGAGACGAUUUGGGGACCUCUUUUGGACUGCUUGGAGCUUAGUAAUAGAGCCAUCUACAGGAGAGGCUAGGGAUCGUGGCAAGGGAGUCGCGCCUAGCUAGGGACUACUAGGAGCGUGCUAGUCGAUCACCUUGUUGCUCGGGCUACGGCCGAGGGUGAUGUCCCUAUGUAUAGAGAAACCACCUUUGUAUCUAUCCUAUUUUUGUAUCCUCGUGAUGUAUAUGUACUACUUGGACCGUGAACUACAGUUGUGAUACUUCUCUUUUGUCGAGAUUUUGGGA